AAAUAAGCAGGUGUCUCUCUCCCGCUCCUUUCGCAAUUUCUGCUCACCCACCCGCAUUUUUUUUUGCACUCAAGUUGUCAAGAAAAACGGCAGGAAUGAGGUUCCUGGUAUAAUUACAGCUUGCUGAGAAAAUCGCAGCCUGCAGCAGUAAUUCCUUCAGUGCUGGAGACAGAUGCUGCUGAGGUCUAAUCACAGUGUUCCCACUAAGCAGGCCCCGAGUCUAAUCUGUCAUCAGCUGAGAGGCCGCUGACUCCUGCCGCGUGUGAACCGGAGCUGCUCGGCCUGAUCCUCUCCCCCCGGCCGGAGCAAGGCAGUGCCAGAGGGAGGGAGGACAAGGCUGCUGCCCUCGGUGAAUGAUCUUAUAGCCCCUGCAUGCUAACAUCAACAACAGAAAAUCAAGAGUACGAGUACAGGCUGAUGAGCACAGAAGUAGGAAGAGGAAAAAGGAAAAGUGCUUAUAUUGAAAAAAGAGCUGGGAGAGAGCACACGCGUGAGGAGAGACUGCACGCAUCUCCUAUGGGUUGCACACAGUUGCUAUUGCCAUCAAAUGUUCUCAUGUUAAAAAAACUGAUGUUCUGUAGCAGCCUGUGGCCAACUCCAUUUCUUAGUUUUCAGCAAUUUUUCUCAACCUGCACGUGGUAGCUGUGUGGACACGACGAUGUACAUAUACCAGGUCUCUACAGAAGCGAUGGAUAUGGUGGCUUCUCCAUCACUGAGGAGGGAGGGGGAACAAAGCGUGGCACGAUGUCUCAAAGAGGGGAAGGAGUGACUCAUACAGGAAGAAAAACAAAGCAAAGAUGAACUUAGAGCACAAGAGAAGAGGUAGACUGUUGGCUGCAAAUCAACAUUCUUGCACUCAGAAGGGUGCGCAUUACAGCGUGAGGAGUUGUGCUUGACAGUAAUGGAAGUCCAAGGAAGUUUGAUUAAGAUUAAAUGGCAGUCACUGGCCAACACAGAAAAGAGGCAUUAAGGUGAAAAUCAAAGACAGGAAGUGACUAAGUAGGUCAGAAGCUGUGGGUAGUGAGCUGGAUAGAUUAAGUGGGACUUGGAGCGACUAAGUUAGCUCUGCUAAUGACACAUGAUAACACGCAUAACGUCGCCAAGUUUAACAAAUCUGACUCUGAAAUCACCUUCAAGGUCCUGAUAUCAAAUCAGAGAUUGCUGAGCUCUAAUAGUAUCUACAUCAGAGCAGAUAAUGUAUGUGUUUUAACAAGAGAUUGGUUUUGCAGUCACUUUUUGACCCUGCCAAGCUUCCUGUAAAUAGUACGCUGUUUUGACUGAACAGGAUUUUUUCAUAAGGACUGAGGAAAAACGACCUGACUAAUAGGAACUGUUUGACUCUGAGAAGGGCAGCUACUGCAGAUUGAAAAGACAGAUGCAGUGGAGAAACUCCUUUCCAGCCUAAAUUCAAUAAGUCUUUGAUUCAGCAGCUUUGUUUGUAUUCUGGAAAGCCGGAAGAGAACGGUCACCUUGUAUUUUUGUACCUGAUGAGAAAACCCCAGAUUGUGUGUGUGCACUGGGACAGUUCAAUGUGCGUCUAUUGCAUCUUCAAAGAGGCUUUCAAUGCUCUUUCAGAUGUGGGGUGUGAGGAAGGGUGAGAACUGCUAAAGCUAGCCCCAUCCUCAUUAAAUCUUUGCCCUCUCCGGAGCAGGCAUGCAAGUGGAGAGAAUAGAAGAUAUGCAUGAGCAACUGAGCAUCUGUGGCCUCAUGACCUUUGACUGUUGUAUUAUGGGAAAUGUAUUCUUCGGUUGCUAUGCUUUUCUAAUUCAUUUGUAUUUUCCUUCAGUGACUCCCUUGUAUUUUCUUUGGUGCUCCUGUGUAAUGGUUUCAAGGAACCACAGAUAGCUCCCAGUUAAGCAUGCAUACAAUAGCUUUAAUUAAAUGUUUGCAAGUAUCCCACAGUAAUGCAAGGGAAAGGGAAAGCAAACAGCUUUUACUGGCUUGUACCUAUCCCUUCUGAGCCCUGCCAUGGGUGAGGGCAUCUGCACUGCUGUCCCUUGAACUCAUUUCUAACCUGAUGUGAAACGAAGGCCAUUGCUCUACACAUAAGCUCUUCAGGCAUUUUCACACCCAGCAAAAGAGCUCCAGGUCACCUGUGAAAGGUACAAGGCUGACACCCUUUAGGCCAGGCUACAAUAAAUUUGAAUAAAUAAAUACAUAAAAAACA